rnacentral:sRNA from 1 species
GCUGGGUGUGGUGGCACACACCUGUAAUCCUAGUGACUUGGGAGGCUAAGGCAGGAGGAUUGCAAGUUUGAGACCAGCCUCAG